CCUACGGGAGGCAGCAGUGGGGAAUUUUGGACAAUGGGCGAAAGCCUGAUCCAGCAAUGCCGCGUGCAGGAAGAAGGCCUUCGGGUUGUAAACUGCUUUUGUACGGAACGAAACGGUCUGCUUUAAUACAGUGGGCUAAUGACGGUACCGUAAGAAUAAGCACCGGCUAACUACGUGCCAGCAGCCGCGGUAAUACGUAGGGUGCGAGCGUUAAUCGGAAUUACUGGGCGUAAAGCGUGCGCAGGCGGUUAUAUAAGACAGUUGUGAAAUCCCCGGGCUCAACCUGGGAAUUGCAUCUGUGACUGUAUAGCUAGAGUACGGUAGAGGGGGAUGGAAUUCCGCGUGUAGCAGUGAAAUGCGUAGAUAUGCGGAGGAACACCGAUGGCGAAGGCAAUCCCCUGGACCUGUACUGACGCUCAUGCACGAAAGCGUGGGGAGCAAACAGGAUUAGAUACCCUGGUAGUCCACGCCCUAAACGAUGUCAACUGGUUGUUGGGUGCAUUAGUACUCAGUAACGAAGCUAACGCGUGAAGUUGACCGCCUGGGGAGUCGGCCGCAAGGUUGAAACUUAAGGAAUUGACGGCUGAGAGNGCGAGACGACGACGAGGAGGAGG
rnacentral:rRNA from 1 species